GAUGAAGAACGUAGCGAAAUGCGAUACGUAAUGUGAAUUGCAGAAUUCAGUGAAUCAUAGAGUCUUUGAACGCACAUUGCGCCCCCUGGUAUUCCGGGGGGCAUGCCUGUCCGAGCGUCAUUGCUGCCCUCAAGCACGGCUUGUGUGUUGGGCCUCCGUCCUCCUCCCGGGGGACGGGCCCGAAAGGCAGCGGCGGCACCGCGUCCGGUCCUCGAGCGUAUGGGGCUUCGUCACCCGCUCUUGUAGGCCCGGCCGGCGCUUGCCGACACAUCAAUCUUUUUUCCAGGUUGACCUCGGAUCAGGUAGGGAUACCCGCUGAACUUAAGCAUAUCAAUAAGCGGAGGA
rnacentral:misc_RNA from 1 species